UGUUAAAAGUUUCAUCUAUUUCUACUAUUAAAAACUGGUGUAGCUGACGAAAUUGCCAGUUAUAUAUGGCAUGUCACAUUUACCUCAUACUGAUGUACAGGGACCAGUUUUUAACCAUAAAAAUGGAUGGAAUUUUUAAUA
rfam:Gossypium hirsutum cultivar TM-1 chromosome 1, whole genome shotgun sequence